CGCGUAGGCGGUUUUUUAAGUCAGAUGUGUAAUCCCCGAGCUUAACUUGGGAACUGCAUCUGAGACUGGAAGGCUAGAGUACUGGAGAGGGUGGUGGAAUUCCCCGUGUAGCGGUGAAAUGCGUAGAGAUGAGGAGGAACACCAGUGGCGAAGGCGGCCACCUGGACAGUAACUGACGCUGAGGCGCGAAAGUGUGGGUAGCAAACAGGAUUAGAUACCCUGGUAGUCCACGCUGUAAACGAUGAACACUUGGUGUGGAGGGAGUUGACCCCUUCCGUGCCGGAGCUAACGCGUUAAGUGUUCCGCCUGGGGAGUACGGUCGCAAGGCUGAA
rnacentral:rRNA from 1 species